UACAGAGGGUGCGAGCGUUAAUCGGAAUUACUGGGCGUAAAGCGUGCGUAGACGGUAGCGUAAGUCAGAUGUGAAAGCCCCGGGCUCAACCUGGGAACUGCAUUUGAGACUGCUCUGCUCGGGUGCGGAAGAGGGAAGCGGAAUUUCCGGUGUAGCGGUGAAAUGCGUAGAUAUCGGGAGGAACACCUGUGGCGAAAGCGGCGCACUGGACCAUAACUGACGCUGGAUGCGCGAAAGCUAGGGGAGCAAACAGG
rnacentral:rRNA from 1 species